rnacentral:rRNA from 1 species
GAUGAACGCUGACAGAAUGCUUAACACAUGCAAGUCAACUUGAACUUCGGUUUGGGUGGCGGACGGGUGAGUAACGCGUAAAGAACUUGCCUCACAGUUAGGGACAACAUUUGGAAACGAAUGCUAAUACCUGAUAUUAUGAUUUUAGGGCAUCCUAGAAUUAUGAAAGCUAUAUGCGCUGUGAGAGAGCUUUGCGUCCCAUUAGCUAGUUGGAGAGGUAACGGCUCACCAAGGCGAUGAUGGGUAGCCGGCCUGAGAGGGUGAACGGCCACAAGGGGACUGAGACACGGCCCUUACUCCUACGGGAGGCAGCAGUGGGGAAUAUUGGACAAUGGACCAAGAGUCUGAUCCAGCAAUUCUGUGUGCACGAUGAAGUUUUUCGGAAUGUAAAGUGCUUUCAGCUGGGAAGAAAAAAAUGACGAUACCAACAGAAGAAGUGACGGCUAAAUACGU